rnacentral:rRNA from 1 species
AGCGAACGCUGGCGGCAGGCCUAACACAUGCAAGUCGAACGAAGUCUUCGGACUUAGUGGCGGACGGGGGAGUAACACGUGGGAACGUACCUUUUGGUUCGGAACAACCCAGGGAAACUUGCGCUAAUACCGGAUGAGCCCUUAGGGCGAAAGAUUUAUCGCCGAAAGAGCGGCCCGCGUUAGAUUAGCUAGUUGGUGAGGUAAAGGCUCACCAAGGCUACGAUCUAUAGCUGGUCUGAGAGGAUGAUCAGCCACACUGGGACUGAGACACGGCCCAGACUCCUACGGGAGGCAGCAGUGGGGAAUCUUGCGCAAUGGGCGAAAGCCUGACGCAGCCAUGCCGCGUGAAUGAUGAAGGUCUUAGGAUUGUAAAAUUCUUUUACCAGGGACGAUAAUGACGGUACCUGGAGAAAAAGCCCCGGCUAACUUCGUGCCAGCCGCCGCAGUAACAC